rnacentral:rRNA from 1 species
UACGCUGGCAGUGCGUCUUAAGCAUGCAAGUCAAACGGRAUGUAGCAAUACAUYUAGUGGCGAACGGGUGAGUAACGCGUGGAUGAUCUACCUAYGAGAUGGGGAUAACUAYUAGAAAUAGUAGCUAAUACCGAAUAARGUCAAUUAAUUUGUUAAUUGAUGAAAGGAAGCCUUUAAAGCUUCGCUUGUAGAUGAGUCUGCGUCUUAUUAGUUAGUUGGURGGGUAAAUGCCUACCAAGRCGAUGAUAAGUAACCGGCCUGAGAGGGUGAACGGUCACACUGGAACUGAGAUACGGUCCAGACUCCUACGGGAGGCAGCAGCUAAGAAUCUUCCGCAAUGGGCGAAAGCCUGACGGAGCGACACUGCGUGAAUGAAGAAGGUCGAAAGAUUGUAAAAUUCUUUUAUAAAUGAGGAAUAAGCUUUGUAGGAAAUGACRAAGYGAUGACGUUAAUUUAUGAAUAAGCCCCGGCUAAUUACGUGCCAGCAGCCGCGGUAAUACGUAAGGGGCGAGCGUUGUUCGGGAUUAUUGGGCGUAAAGGGUGAGUAGGCGGAUAUAUAAGUCUAUGCAUAAAAUACCACAGCUCAACUGUGGARCUAUGUUGG